CAGUAGGGAAUUUUCGUCAAUGGGCGCAAGCCUGAACGAGCGAUGCCGCGUGAGUGAAGAAGGCCUUCGGGUCGUAAAGCUCUGUUGCGGGGGAAAAAGGCAGCAUCAGGAAAUGGGUGCUGACUGAUGGUGCCCCGCCAGAAAGUCACGGCUAACUACGUGCC
rnacentral:rRNA from 1 species